rnacentral:rRNA from 1 species
AGCGUUGUCCGGAAUUAUUGGGCGUAAAGAGCUCGUAGGCGGUUUGUCGCGUCUGCUGUGAAAACGCGAGGCUCAACCUCGCGCCUGCAGUGGGUACGGGCAAACUAGAGUGCGGUAGGGGAGAUUGGAAUUCCUGGUGUAGCGGUGGAAUGCGCAGAUAUCAGGAGGAACACCGAUGGCGAAGGCAGAUCUCUGGGCCGUAACUGACGCUGAGGAGCGAAAGCAUGGGGAGCGAACAGGAUUAGAUACCCUGGUAGUCCAUGCCGUAAACGUUGGGAACUAGAUGUAGGGACCAUUCCACGGUUUCUGUGUCGCAGCUAACGCAUUAAGUUCCCCGCCUGGGGAGUACGGUCGCAAGACUAAAACUCAAAGGAAUUGACGGGGGCCCGCACAAGCGGCGGAGCAUGCGGAUUAAUUCGAUGCAACGCGAAGAACCUUACCAAGGCUUGACAUAUAGAGGAAACGUGCAGAAAUGUACGCCCCGCAAGGUCUCUAUACAGGUGGUGCAUGGUUGUCGUCAGCUCGUGUCGUGAGAUGUUGGGUUAAGUCCCGCAACGAGCGCAACCCUCGUCCUAUGUUGCCAGCACGUAAUGGUGGGAACUCAUGGGAGACUGCCGGGGUCAACUCGGAGGAAGGUGGGGAUGACGUCAAAUCAUCAUGCCCCUUAUGUCUUGGGCUUCACGCAUGCUACAAUGGCCGGUACAAAGGGCUGCAAUACCGCAAGGUGGAGCGAAUCCCAAAAAGCCGGUCUCAGUUCGGAUUGGGGUCUGCAACUCGACCCCAUGAAGUUGGAGUCGCUAGUAAUCGUGAAUCAGCAACGUCACGGUGAAU